rnacentral:rRNA from 1 species
AUUGAACGCUGGCGGCAGGCCUAACACAUGCAAGUCGAGCGGAUGAUGGGAGCUUGCUCCUUGAUUCAGCGGCGGACGGGUGAGUAAUGCCUAGGAAUCUGCCUGGUAGUGGGGGACAACGUUUCGAAAGGAACGCUAAUACCGCAUACGUCCUACGGGAGAAAGCAGGGGACCUUCGGGCCUUGCGCUAUCAGAUGAGCCUAGGUCGGAUUAGCUAGUUGGUGAGGUAAUGGCUCACCAAGGCGACGAUCCGUAACUGGUCUGAGAGGAUGAUCAGUCACACUGGAACUGAGACACGGUCCAGACUCCUACGGGAGGCAGCAGUGGGGAAUAUUGGACAAUGGGCGAAAGCCUGAUCCAGCCAUGCCGCGUGUGUGAAGAAGGUCUUCGGAUUGUAAAGCACUUUAAGUUGGGAGGAAGGGUUGUACGCUAAUACCGUGCAAUUUUGACGUUACCGACAGAAUAAGCACCGGCUAACUCUGUGCCAGCCGCCGCCGUAACAC